AUUGAACGCUGGCGGCAUGCCUUACUCAUGCAAGUCGAACGGUAACAGGUCUUCGGAUGCUGACGAGUGGCGAACGGGUGAGUAAUACAUCGGAACGUGCCCGAGAGUGGGGGAUAACGAGGCGAAAGCUUUGCUAAUACCGCAUACGAUCUCAGGAUGAAAGCAGGGGACCGCAAGGCCUUGCGCUCAUGGAGCGGCCGAUGGCAGAUUAGGUAGUUGGUGGGAUAAAAGCUUACCAAGCCGACGAUCUGUAGCUGGUCUGAGAGGACGACCAGCCACGCUGGGACUAGGACACGGCCCAGACGCCUACGGGAGGCAGCAGUGUGAAUUUUGGACAAUGGACGCAAGUCUGAUCCAGCCAUGCCGCGUGCGGGAAGAAGGCCUUCGGGUUGUAAACCGCUUUUGUCAGGGAAGAAACGUGUUUCUCUAAUACAGGGACUUAAUGACGGUACCUGAAGAAUAAGCACCGGCUAACUACGUGCCAGCCGCCGCAGUAACAC
rnacentral:rRNA from 1 species